UUUUUUUUUCUUCGUUUCGGCAAAAAAAAAAGACAAAGAGACGAAGAGAGAGAGAAAGAGAAAAAAAAGAACGAGAGAACGAAGAGGAGAGAGAAAGAGGAAAGGGAAAAAGUAAUAAGGGUAUUUUGGUCAGUUUGCUGAAAAAGCGGACCGAAUCUGCAAAAACGAAAAAGGUGGCCCGAUUUUGCAAAAGUCCAAAAUAAGUGAAUUUUUUAUGCAAAUUGGCCAAAUAAGUUACACACACGAUAGCAAAUGUAUCUCGAGUAAUAACACCACCCUUAGAAAAAACAAGGAAGAUCCAAAAAAAAAGAAAAGAAAAAGAAUUAACACUCUUUCAACCAUCAACCUAGUAUCAAAAACACUUUGAAAAUUAGAAUAAAUUCUUAUUAUGUCAAUGAUCAGAUCCAAGAGAGGAGCUUGAAACAAGCAAAAUCUUCGGCAAAGCUACACAGCACCACCAUGCAUGAAAAGUCCAGAUUAAGAAGCUUACAACAUAACAACACACUGCUUCAGUCUCAAGGGUUGUAAUGUCACGGAAGAUACACACAUACGCCGUGCCUUCACGAUGCCAAAUUAUUCUUCUAAUCUGCGAAGAGCAUACCGCAACCGUCGUAAUAAUAAUGAUACAAGAAGAGUGUGCCUCUCGCUUCUUUCAUCUUACAACAACAUGAUCCUCUACAGGAGGGUCGUUGGGGUGCGCGAUCUCGGGGACGAGAGGGUUGUCGGGGUUGGGGUCGGUGAGGAGGGAGCAGAUGGAGAGGAGGACCUUCGAGAUGGUUAGCGCGGGGCUCCACUGCUCCUUGAGGAUGUCGAGGGAAAUGCUGCCGUUCGAGUUGAUGUUCGGGUGGUACACCUAACAUGAUUUUGAUUUAGUGCAUAAUCAUAUUACUACUACACUGACGGCCGGAGCCUGAGAUAUCCGCCUUUUGCCGCAAGCGAUGGGAGAGCUCCAGCGUGUGGUGGCUGCAGGGAUGGGAACAGGCAUGCAUGAAUUUAUCUAAUUAUAAAAAAUAAAAAUUCCACCUCAUCAUAAUUCAAAAUAAUUUUACAUUUGUAUGAUAUGUAAAAUACUUUAUAUUAUAUUUGAAUAUGUAUUUUAGAAUUUUAGUUUUAAUGUAAUAUAUUUUAAAAUAUCGCAAAGAGAAAUAAUUAUUUCGGGCUCGUAUUCGGAUUUUAAAUUUCUGGUCGGAUUUGAAUUCCGUUAUGGAUUCUGUAUUUGGUAGUCGGAUUUUAAUUUGGAUUUUUAAAACCCAAUUCUGGAAUUUGAUAUGUCGAAAUUCCUAUUUGAGUGUGGAGAUUUAAUUGUAUGUAGAAGUUUUGUUUAAGUUCUCAAACUUUUGGAUCUUAGAGCAUGUUUGGUUUUUUGGACAAUCGAGAAAAUUUAUUUUUCAGAGGGGGAAAAAAAAACCCUUUCCAUAGUUUAAAUUUUCUAGAAUAAAAUAAAAUCUAUAAAGUAAAAAGAAAGAUUUAUUCAUAAAAUUUGAAAAACAAAUUUAGAAAAAAAAUAUUUUUUUAGAACCAAAAAGUAGAGAAGUUUUUUUCAACCAAAAAAAAACUAGAAUGCUACUAGCAGUAAACCAGGAAGUUUAUUUCUAUAUUUGUAUAUCGUUUCGGACGAUGAAAAUAUCUGAAUUGACGAUCCAAACAGUUUUUGAAAAAAAUUUCCUAAAUGCUCUUCUGAGAGAGGUAAUUUUAUCAACGCCCCUUCAAAAUUCAGAGUAUCGCAAUACCGGCCCUCUUGAAAUAUUCUCAAACGCCCCUAUCAAUAAAACAAUUCCACAAAUUUAAUGGAUUAAUUCUAAAUUUCUAUCACAAAAUAUUCUCCAAUGUCUAUCUAGGAGUAAACCACAGGAUAAUUAAGCAUUACUUUUUGACUAGGAUGACAAAAUAAAAAAAUAUAUACUAACGCCUGAUUGGAUGCACAGUUAUAAAAUUUCAUGUAGUUUGUAUAUUGUAGUUUUCCUUUAGAUGAAAUCUAAAAAAAAUUGUGACUCUAAAAAAUUUUAUGAUUUUAUUUUUAAGCUGUUUGAAUACACAUUGUACAAUUUCACUAAAUUUCUACCAAUUUAAAAUUAAAAUUUUUAAAUUUAAAAUCUAGAUUUAAGAUUUAAAAUUUAAAAUUUACAAGUUAUAAUUUAAAAUUAAAUAUUUUACUUUUUAAAAUUUAAAAUUUAAAAUUGAAAAUUUUAUCUUAAAUUUUAAAUUUUAAAAUUUGACACAACAUGGGGGGAGAGAGCCUAAGAAUGAUGGAUUUUUUUUUUUUUUGAGGAAAGAUGGAUUUUUUUUUCCUAAGGUUAGAAUAUAUUGUUAUUUUACUUCAUAUUUGAAGUAUAGUUUAAUUAUAAUACUUCAAAAAAUAUGUACUCUUUUGGAUCUCUCAAACACUUCAUAGGAUAGUUUUUUGUUGGGUAUAAUAUGUUCUAUGGGGCAUUGAAAUAGGGCAAGAUUAUGUCUCCUAAUUUUGAUUAUUAGAUUUUUAAAUUUUGUCAAAUAGUUCAAUAAACUCUUCUUCUCGAGCAAACUUUCUAAUUACAUUAUAUUUUUGAUCAGAUAUAGUGCAUAUAAUCCUAUAAGACUUCUUUAAAAUAUAAAUAAAUCUAAUUUUUCUCUUCUAAGUUUGAUAAUUAAGCAUGCAGAUCACAUAAUAGGCAAUUUUCAUUUUUUUUAUAUGUUAGAAUAUAAAAAAAAAAAAAAAUGGGGGGGAAUUGAAGCUCUAUAAAAUUAUACACAAUACAUACGACGAAAAUGAAUGUAUGAUUAAUAACUAUAAUUGAAGAGAGGGAUUUAUUACACUUUUUGAUUAAGUUUAAGGAAUCUCACCAUUAAAAAUUAAAGGAAAAACUUCAAAUAUCAUCCCAGUACGUGGUUUCGCACUUUCUUACUUUGGUACUAUGUAGUUUAAAAUGUAUCGAUUUAGUACCCCGUGGUUUUUUUUUCUCUUUUUAUUAUUCAUUUUAUUAAUUUUUUUUCGUUAAAUCAGUGAUAAAGUUAAAAUUAAAAAGUACUAAAAUAUAUAUUCGAUAAACCAAGGUGGGGUAUCUGAAGUUUUUUUUAUAUAAUUUAACGAAAUAUUAAUGAAGGAGCUAACGAAAAGAAAAAAAUGAAACCACGGAAUAUUAAAUUGAUAUAUUUACUACAGGAUACUAAAGUGAGAAACUUCGAAACCAUAGGGGUGGUAUUUCAAAUUUACCCUAAAAAUUAAAAGUUCAGCUGCUUAUUUACAAAGAACAGAAGUUACAGAAAAACAAAAGUUCAGGGUCGGUAUAUGUUUUUUUUCCUUUUAAAUUUAAGAUCCACCGAUUAUAGUUGUGGAUAAAAUCUCUCAUCUGAUGAUGUUCAUCUACCAUCUCUUCUAUAAUUAUUUAUAGAUAAAGUUCUCCUCCAAAAUUCAAAAUAAAAUAUAUAAUCAACCAACAUAUCCUACCAAUAAUUAUAUCUUUUUAAAUCUAAAAUCUUCUAAUGAUAAAAUUAUUUUCAAACGUCACAAAAAUAAAUUUCAAGAUAAAUUAGCGUUUAAUUUGCUCCCAAGUAGAACUUAAUUAAACAUUGGUUAAUUGCGCCACCGAUCCCUAACCUUUAGUAGCUUUUUCACUUUGGUGCCUAAUCCUUGUUUUUUUAAGGGGUACUAUUUGGUUCCUAACUUUCAUAUCUUAUUACCGACCGUCUCUAGAGCAAGUGGCAAAGGGCUUGGCGGUUGGUACCCGAGAGCCAAGUUCGAAUCCUAGUUGAUUAACAUUUCUAGCUAAGUUUAUUUCUAAAUGAAAUAAACGAAGCGGGUAGCGUGCUACCUAUCAACAAAGUAAACUCUCAAACUACUCGUACAAGACCAUGGCCAUGGUUCAAUACCCUUUCGUGAAUUUUAGUACUAACUAUUUUGAGUAUUUGAAAGAACUUGGCGAUGCAUUCAGCUCAGACGCUAAAAUGUCAGUAUAGAUCGUAAAUGCUAACCAACUAUCUCAAAAGUACAUGCCGAUAGGAAUGGCACAUAAGAUUCAACCGCAGCGCUCAUGAGCUUCGAUCUGACUAAUCCAUCUGAAUGUUAAAUUUAUUGCUGGAUCUCUUGUCAUUAGAUCUCUUACCAUUAGUUUUAUUGUGGAUUAAUUGCAACUUCACUCAACUUAUCGGACUGGCCCAACUCAAUUUAUACGACCAGUUACAAUAAAAAAAGCAAUCAUCGACAGGUGCGAGGUUGAGGCGGCUGUGAGAGUGAAAAUGAUACAAAGGGAAGUUAGACAAGGGCUUGACACGAUGGGCGUGCAUAUGGAAAGGACCAACGGUGUAGGUAACUAUAGCGGCUAAUAAUUUGACUGUGAGAAGAAAAAUAAAUUGGGCUAGGGCUGGGGAUCAAUAGUGCAGUUAACUUAUAAUCCUAAAUAAACAUGUAUACAUUACAAACACUGACUCAAAAUAGCUAAACAAGCUUUUAUUCAUCUUCACGCAUAUAUAUAUAUAUAUAUAUAUAUAUAGAGCAGGGCUGCUGUGCUCUCAGGAGCACGGAGGCCUCCGUGCUCCUGAGCCGUUUUCAAUAAUGGAAUUUUCGAAUCGACGAUCGGCUCCGUUAGACUUGAUCUAGCGCAUUUGAAGUUUCUAGAAAAUAAUUUUUGCGAUUUUUCGAUAUCAUUUACCUAGUGAUCGAAAUGAUUCAAAAUCUAUAAUUUUAAUGGUUGAUAUCUGCCGUUUUCAAGUUUAACGGUGUAGAAGUAUUCAAAUCAGAUGAAAUUUGAUAGAAAAUUCUUUAUACUAGCUACAAACAAGAUCUAUAUUUCUGAUCGAAAAUUUUAGUGCUAUAUCACCACUUUUUAUAGAAUUUUUAUUUUCAGCCGUUAAAUUUAUUGAUUUUGAAUCCUUUCGAUUGCUAGGUAAAUGAUAUCGAAAAAUCGCAAAAAUUAUUUUCUAGAAACUUUAAAUACGCUAGAUCAAGUUUAACGGAGCCGAUCGUCGAUUCAGAAACUCCAUCAUCGAAAACGGCUUAGGAGCACGGAGGCCUCGUGCUCCUAAGAGCACAGCAGCCUCCCUGCUCUAUAUAUAUAUAUAUAUAUAUAGAAUUAUGCUACUAUACUAUCAAAGUACCAAGCCCUUGGUACUAUGAGUUUUUGGUCGUUGAAUAAAGAAUGUGCGGUUAGGAUGAUAGUGGUCCCGGUUAAAUUGAUAGUAGUCUCCUAGGUGAGUGGGUGGUUGGUUUAAUAGUAUUAUCUAACGGGUGGAAAUGAUCAAAGGGUAUAUCUAACGGUAGAAAAUCAAUAGUAUCAAGGGCUUGGUACUGUCAAUAGUAUACUAGCCGGACACUGUAUUAUAUAUAUAUAUAUAUAUAGCAGGGCUGCUGUGCUCUCAGGAGCACGGAGGCCUCCGUGCUCCUGAGCUGUUUUCGAUGAUGGAAUUUUUCGAAUCGACGAUCGCUCCGUUAGACUUGAUCUAGCGCAUUUGAAAUUUCUAGAAAAUAAUUUUUGCGAUUUUUCGAUAUCAUUUACCUAGCGAUCGAAAGGAUUCAAAAUCUAUAAUUUUUAAUGGUUGAUAUCUGCCGUUUUCAAGUUUAACGGUGUAAAAGUAUUUCAAUCAUUGAUGAAUUUUGAUAGAAAUUUUAUACUAUCUACAACAAGAUCUAUAUUUCUGAUCGAAAUUUUAGUGCUAUAUCACCACUUUUUAUAGGAUUUUUAUUUUCAGCCGUUAAAAAUUAUUGAUUUUGAAUCCUUUCGAUUGCUAGGUAAAUGAUAUCGAAAAAUCACAAAAAUUAUCUUCUAGAAAUUUAAAUACGUUAGAUCAAACUUAACGGAGCCGAUCGUCGAUUCGAAAACUCCAUCAUCGAAAAUGGCUCAGGACACGGUGCUCCUGAGAGCACAGCAGCCCUGCUAUAUAUAUAUAUAUAUAUAUAAUUAUAUAUAUAUAUAUAUAUAUAUAUAUAUAUAUAUAUAUAUUAUAGUUGGCUAGAAUACUAUUGGUAGUAAACGAGCCGUUUUACUAUCGAUUUGUUUUCAAUGAUAGAACGUCCAAAUUGACGAUCGGCUCCGUUGAACAUAAUCUAUACCACUUAAUGUGUUUAGAAAUCAAAUUUCAAAUCUUUUCGACAUCAUUUGCCUAAUGAUCAAAGGGUUUCAAAAUUUGUAAUUUUAAUGGUCGAUAAGAGCGUUUUAUCAUUUAAUGGCAUAAAGAUAUUCAAAUCAAUGUGAAUUUUGUUAGAAAAUUUUUUAAACUAGUUGAGUGUACGUACAAAUGCACGUAACAAUUAUUUUAAUUUAUUUUAAAUUAAUAAAAAUUGUAAUCAUAUUGAGUUAAGAAUUUAGAAUAAAAUAUUUUGUAAAUUUUAUAUGUUAUGUAUUUUAUUAGAAAAUAUCUACAAUAUAUUCUUGGAUAAGCAUAAUUUUUUUCUAUUUUAGAGAUAAAAAAAAUAAACAAAUUUCUAAUUAAAAUAUAGAUUCAUAGUAGAUACUUUUCGGUUGGCAAAAAUUUGGAUAAGUAUAUUUUUUUACUAUUUUAAAAUACAUGAUUUUAUUUUAUAUGUAGUAUAGAUAGUGUAGAUAUUAUAUUAUAGAUAGAGAUAAAAAAAAUUAAACAAAUUUUGAAUUAAAAUAUAGAUUUAUAGUAGAUAAUUUUUGGUUGGUAAAAAUUUAGAUAAGCAUAAUUUUUUUUAUCUCUAUCUAUAAUAUAAUAUCUACACUAUCUAUACUACAUAUAAAAUAAAAUUGAUUCCUCUUUUGGUUGGUAAAAAUUUAGAUAAGCAUAAUUUUUUUUUUCUGUUGUAGGCAAAAAUUUAGAUAAGCAUAAAUAUUUUUCUGUUGUAGAAAUAAAGAGGAAUUAAAAGUUUGUUCAAUUCUGUUAUUUUUUUUACGUAACAAAAGAGGAAUCAAUUUUUUUUUCAAUCCCCGCCAAAAAAUGGGUCUGUCGACAAACUAAAAUUUGAAAUACGUGCAUAUAUAUAUAUAUAUAUAUAUAUAUAUAUAUAUAGAGAGAGAGAGAGAGAGAGAGAGAGAGAGAGAGAGAGAGAGAGAGAGCGCACUAGGCUCCUAUGUUUUCGAAAGUAUGGAGACAUCCGUACUUGUAAGUUGUUUUCGAUGAUAGGACAUUCGAUUUGACGAUCGGUUCCGUUAGACAUGAUUCUACACUAUUUGAACUAUCUAGAAAUCAAAUUUUAUAAUUUUUUGACUUUGUUUGCCUAGUGAACAAAUAGCCUCGAAAUAAACGGUUGAAAAUAAAAAUCUCAUAAGAAAUAAUGAUAAAGGACUCAAAUUUCAAAUCGAAAGUAUUGUUCUUAUUUUUGAUGUCAAGUAGAAUUUUCUAUUAAAUUUUUAUGUAAUUUAUAUACUUCUACACCGUUGAAGUUAAAAACGUGUCACAUCGGCCGUUAAAAUAGUCAUUUUUGAGACCCUGUGAUUGCUGGGUAAAUAAUGUCGAAAAAUUAUGAAAUUUGGUUUAUAAAUAGUUCCAAUAACGUAGAUUAUACCUUAUGGAGCCGAUCGUCAAAUCGGAUAACAUAUCAUCGAAAAUAACUUAUAAGCACGGAAGCCUUCGUACUUUCGAAAGUACGGAAGACGUACUACAUAUAGAAUGAAUAACGCAGCGGGUAGCGUGCCUACCCAUGCAACAAAUAAAACUCUCAAACUUCGGUACUAAGACCAUGGCAUGGAUUCAAUCCCUUUCGGUGAAUUUGUAUACUUUUUUUAACUAUUUUGAGUAUUUGAAAGUAACUGGGCGAUGCAUUCACGCAGACGCAUUAAAUGUAGAUAGAGUCGUCAAAUGGCUAACCAACAUAUCUCAAAACAUGCGCGAAGGGAAUGGACAUAAAGAUUCAACGCGCACGCGUCAUGUAGCUUCGAUCUGAAUAUCCAUCUGAAUGUUAAAAUUAUUGCUGGAUCUCUUGUCAUUAGAUCUCUUACAUAUUUUUAUUGUGGAUUAAUUGCACUUUUCACUCAACUUAUCGGACUGGCCAACUCAUUUAUACGACCAGUUACAAUAAAAAAAGCAAUCAUCGACAGGGCGAGUUGAGGCGGCUGUGAGAGUGAAAAUGAUACAAGAAGUUAGACAAGGCUUGACACGAUGGGCGUGCAUAUGGAAAGACCAACGUGUAGGUAAUAUAGCGGCUAAUAAUUGACUGUGAGAAGAAAAAUAAUUGGUAGGCUGGGAUCAAUAGUGCAGUUAACUUAUAAUCCUAAAUUAAACAUGUAUACAUUAAAACACUGACUCAAAAUAGCUAAACAAGCUUUCUUUCAUCUUCACGCAUAUAUAUAUUUUAUAUAUAUAUAGAGCAGGGCUGCUGUGCUCUCAGGAGCACGGAGGCCUCCGUGCUCCUGUAGCCGUUUAAUAAUGGAUUUUCGAAUCGACGACGGCUCCGUUAGACUUGAUCUAGCGCCAUUUGAAGUUUCUGAGAAAUAAUUUUGCGGAUUUUUCGUAUCAUUUUACCUAGUGAGUCGAAGAUUAAAUCUUAAUUUUUUAAUGGUUGAAUAUCUGCCGUUUUCAAGUUUAACGUGUAGAAUAUUCAAAUCAGAUGAAAUUUUGAUAGAAAAUUCUUUAUACUAGCUACAACAAGAUGCUAUAUUUCUGAUCGAUAAAUUUUAAGUGGCUAUAUCACCACUUUUUAUAGAAUUUUUAUUAUUCAGCCGUUAACAUUUAUUGGUUGAAUCCUUUCGAUUGCUAGGUAAUGAUAUCGAAAAUCGCAAAUAUUUCUAGAAACUUUAAAUACGCUAGAUUAAGUUUAACGGAGCCGAUCGUCGAUUCGAAAACUCCAUCAUCGAAAACCGGCUUAGGAGCACGGAGCCUCCGUGCUCCUAAGAGCACAAGAGCCCUGCUAUAUAUAUAUAUAUAUAUAUUAGAAUUAUGCUACUUAUCUAUCAAUAGUACCAAGCCUUGGUACUAUUGAGUUUUUGGUCGUGAAUGAAAGAAUGUGCGGUUAGGAUGAUAGUGGUCCCGUUAAAUUGAUAGUAGUCUCCUAGGUUGAGUGGGUGGUUGGUUAAAGUAUUAUCUUACGUGGAAAUGAUCAAAGGUGUAUUCUAACGGUAGAAACUCAAUAGUAUCAAGGGCUUGGUAUGUCAAUAGUAUACUAGCCCGGCACUGUAUAUAUAUAUAUAUAUAUAUAGCAGGCUGCUGUGCUCUAGGAGCACGGAGGCCUCCGUGCUCCUUGAGCUGUUUUCGAUGAUGGAAUUUUCGAAUCGACGAUCGCUCCGUUAGACUUGAUCUAGCGCAUUGAAAUUUCUGAAAAAUAAUUUGCGAUUUUUCGAUAAUUUACCUAGCGAUCGAAAGGAUUCAAAAUCUAUAAUUUUUAAUGGUUGAUAUCUGCCGUUUUCAAGUUUAAACGGAUGGUAAAAAGUAUUUAAAUCAGAUGAAAUUUGAUAGAAUUUUUAUACUAUCUACACAAGAUCUAUAUUUCUGAUCGAAAAUUUUAGUGCCUAUAUCACCACUUUUUAUAGGAUUUUUAUUUUCAGCCGUUAAAAAUUAUUGAUUUUGAAUCCUUUCGAUUGCUGGUAAAUGAUAUCGAAAAAUCACAAAAAUUAUCUUCUAGAAACUUUAAAUACGUUAGAUCAACUACUAACGGAGCGAUGGUCGAUUCGAAACAGUCGAUCAUCGAAAAUGGCUCAGGAGCACGGUGCUCCUGAGAGAACAGCAGCCCUGCACUAUAUAUAUUAUAUUACUUAUAUAUAUAUAUAUAUAUAUAUAUAUAUAUAUAUUAAUAUAUAUAUUAGUUGUGCUAGAAUACUAUUGGUAGUAAAGAGCCGUUUUACUAUCGAUUUGUUUUCAAUGAAUAGAACGUCAAAUUGACGAUCGGCUCCGGUGAACAUAAUACUAUACCACUUAAGUGUUUAGAAAUCAAAUUUUCAACUUUUCGACAUCAUUUGCCUAAUGACAAAGAGGUUUAAAAUUUGUAAUUUUAAUGGUCGAUAAGAGGCGUUUUAUCAUUUAAUGCAUAAGAUAUUCAAAUCAAUUGAUAUUUUUGUUAGAAAAUUUUUUAAACUAGUUGAGUGUACGUACAAAUGCAAGUAACAAUUAUUUUAAUUUAUUUUAAAUUAAUAAAAAAUUGUAAAUCAUAUUGAGUUAAGAAUUAGAAUAAAAUUUUUGUAAUUAUAUGUUAGAAAUAAACAUAGCUAGAAAUGUGAAUAAACUAGGAUUCAAACUUGGGUCUCGGAUACCAACCACCAAGCCCUUUGCCACUUGAAUUUAUAAAAGGGCAAGAGUAAUAAAAAUCUCAUAAAACAUGAUGAUGGAAGAUUUGAAUUUAAAAUCAGAGGUACUGAUCUUACUCUAAAUAGUAAAAAGAAUUUUCUAUAAAAAUUUCAUCUGAUUUGGAUUAUUUUACACCGUUAAAUUUACAAAUGCAUCACAUCUACCAUUAAAAUUAUCAAUUUUGAGACCUUUUGAUCACUAGCGAAAUGAUGUCAAAAAAUUAUGAAAUUUAGUUUUCAAAUAUUUUUAAUAUUGUAGAUCAAGUUUAACGGAGCCGAUUGUCGAUUUGGAAGCGGCAUCAUUAAAAACAACUUGGGACUUUCGAAUCGAUGAUCAGCUCCGUUAGACUUGAUUUAGAGUAUUUUAAGUAUCCAGAAAAUAAAUUUUGUGAUUUUUUUAUAUCAUUUGCCUAGUGAUCGAAGUGACUCAAAAUUAACGGCUAAAAAUAAAAAUCUCACAAAAUAUGAUGACAUGACAUUAAAAUUUUAGAUCAACAUAUUAAUUUUAUUUUAUAUAGUGUAAAGAAUUUUAUAUCAAAAUUUCACGUGAUUUGGAUAUUUCUACACCGUUAAACUUGCAAACGGCUCACCACGGCCAUUAAAAUUAUUGAUUUUGAGCCNAUGGGACGAGAAAAGUGAAGAGGAGCAGAGGCGGCAGUGACGACAGUGACAGCAGAGUUGAAGAGAAAAGAGAAGUGCUGUGAGAGAUGGAGAGAAGAAAGGUGGAAGAAGAGAGAGGUAAAAAACUGGGGAUGAAAAAGAAAUUUUUUUUUUCCUCAUUGAUGUAGAACAACUCGAGCUUUUGAGCUGUUCUAGCAUUUAAGGAGAACAACCUGUUCUGGGAUAACUCUGUUUGAUCGGGAUAUCACAUACCCAUCAUUUUUUUUAGGAACAAAUUGGUGGAUAUCCCCCUUGUUUUGGAAAAAUCACCAACCAAAUAGUGCCUUAAAAAAAACGCUUUAACCUCCUUAAAACUUAAUAAUCUUUAUAGUUAACCACUUUCGUUAUUAUAUUGAUUCCAUUAGAAAUUUAUUUUAAUAUCGUACUUGCCUUUCUGCUAGCUCCAAUUUCUCUCCUUUUUUGUCCUUUUUCUCAUGUAUUUUUCGCUUCAAAUUAAUAUGAUAGAUGCGAAAAAAUUAUAUUAAGAGGUUCUAAACCUUCUUUGUCAAUGUGACACCUCUUAAUAUUUAUAGGUAGUACUCGAGUUAUUUCAAUCAAUUAAAUUGAAGGCUUAAUUAAAUUAAUUAUUGAUUCUAUUGAAUUUUAUAUUGAGCAUUCUGGUACUUGCUCUAAUACUAGUUGUUGAGAAUUCACAACCCACUCUGAUACCGAUUGCUGUAAAUCUGGCACUUGUUAUGGUACUGAUUGUUUGCAUUACGCGAAAAAAGCGUCCAAUUGAAUUUUUACCAUAAACCUAUCUUCUUAGCGAAAAUUGAUACAAACACAAAAAAGAGAAAAAUCAAAUAGAAAGUAUAGAUGAAAUAAAUUUCACUAACUAAGAAAAAAAUUACACCUGACUCCUCUUUUACAUAGAAUAGUUUCAACCCAAGCCCUUUUUCUGAAUCUCCCUCCUCUCAAUCUUGAUUCUAUGAAUUCUAAAGACUACUCUCUCUUUUUCUAAAUCAAUGAACAAGAUAUACCGAUGAUCCACAGCCACAAAAGUCGCACACGUCCGCUUACACCCAUGCACCAAAUGCACCUAAAACCCUGAACACUUUGGGCUGUACACGACAUGGCUUUCGACUAAGACGUAUGGCCCAUCAAGAGCACCCACAACAUGGCCAUAAUUGUGCUUAUAUAAUGCACACUCAAAACAUACCCAAUCCUAGUACAAUUAUUGUCAUGCCCCGAAUUACUCGUUUCCCCGGGCACGCUAACAGACCCGCCGUAUGCAUAGAAAUUUUUUUUGUAUACGAAGCGAUAAAUGUACCUGUACUUAUAAUAAUAUAAUACUACAACCAGUAGUAUAGAGCUACUAGAAAGAAAUACAUAUAUAAACAACAUCGGUCCCAAUACAUACAUAGUAUCCUGAUACAAAAUCACUCGCUCCAGCGAGGAACAAAUAUCAGUAUAUACAAGAACAAAAAACUAGCACUAUGUUGAAGCAUAAAAAAAAAAAAUAAAAUAAAAUAAAAUAAAAGAGAAAGAAAAAAAGAGAAAGAGAGAUGGUAUAUGAGAUGAUCCAUGCACUAGGUGCAUGGAUAAAAUUUAAGUUCAAAUUUUGAACCUGAUGCAUAGGUUAAUCCAUGCACCAGGUGCACAGAUAUCAAAAGUGGGAUGUUCUCGUAGGCAUGAAUGGAUGUUGCAAAAAGCAAGUUAGUCCUUUCCCUUUCAUAUAUUUGCAAGAUGCUCCUUCAAACAUAUAAUAUUCUGUUAUUUUAACUAAAAUAUAAUAUAAACAAAAGGGAAGGACUAAUAUACAAUUUAAUACCCAUGACCUCACGAUCCCAUCGUAACUUCCAACCUCUCCCACAAAUCCCACCAUACGCACGAUCCCAAACAGUUACGACUGAUCCCAUAAAUAUCUCCCGAUGAGAAAGAGAGAGGGAGACAAGUUGUUUUUGAAUUCUCUCAAACCCAUUCCAAAACCCAAUCCCAUUCCUGUGUCUACGAAAGAGAAAAGAAAGGUAAAAAAAAAAAGGGAUAAUUGCCUAUAUACCCUUCAUGCGUUCGGAAAUAUCCGAUCUACCCCUACUUUUUUUUUCUUUCUAAAAUGUCCCUCAUACGUUCCACCGUUAUUCCAAAAUACCCCCGCAGUUAUCCCCUGUUAGCUUAACUCGGGUUAAACAUGGGUUAAAUCUAUACUAGAGUUAAAACCUGAACAAAAUACCUAUUUUGCCCCUACUUUAUUAUAGUAAUCCCUAAGAUUAUCCUCUCUUUCUUCCCCAAUUUUGUCGCCACCACCGGCCGACUCCUCCGCCACCACCGGCCGGCUCCUCCGCCUCUACCUCACCUCCUCGCCUCUUCUCCUCCCAGACCGCCACACCGUCCC
rnacentral:lncRNA from 1 species